rnacentral:lncRNA from 1 species
AUAUAUAUAUAGAGAGAGAGAGAGAGAGAGAGAGAGAGUUGAGCUGGAAUGCUAUCAGUAGCAAAUGGACUCCGUUGCCACCCAUUUGUUUUCGAUGAUGGAGCCCUCAAAUCGACGAUCGGCACCGUUGAACAUGAUCUAUAUCACUUGAAGUAUCUAGAAAUUAAAUUUCAAAUAUUUUCAAUAUCAUUGACCUAAUGAUCAAAGGGUUUCAAAAUUUGUAAUUUUAAUGAUCGAUGUAAGGUGUUUUCUCGUUUAACGGUGUAAAGCUAUCCAAAUCAAUUGAAUUUUGGUUAGAAAAUUCUUUAAACUAUUUAGAACAAGAUCUACACUCUCGAUCUUGAUUACAAAAUUCCUAUCAUCACUUUUUAGAGGAUAUUUAUUUUCAGCCGUUCAUUUUUACGCCUACUUGAUGAACGAGAGAACAAUAUUGGAAAAAUAUGAAAUUUGAUUUCUAGAUACUUCAAGUGAUAUAGAUCAUUUUCAACGAUACUGAUCGUCGAUUUAGAGGCUCCAUCAUCGAAAACAAAUGAGUGGCAACGGAGCUCGUUUGCUACCGAUAGUAUUCCAGCUCAACUAUAUAUAUAUAUAUAUAAUUGUGCUGGUAUGCUUAUGGAAGCACGGAGGCCUCCGUGCUUCCAAGUCGUUUUCGAUGUUCGGACUUUCGAAUCGACGAUCGGCUCCGUUAGAGUUGAUCUAGAGUAUUUGAAGUACCUAGAAAAUAAAUUUUGCGAUUUUUCGAUAUCAUUUGCCUAGUGAUCGAAGGGGCUCAAAAUCAAUAAUUUUAACGACCGUGGUGAGCCGGUUGCAAGUUUAACGGUGUAGAAAUAUCCAAAUCACAUGAAAUUUUGAUAGAAAAUUUUUUAUACCAUAUAAAACAAGAUCAAUAACUUUGAUCUAAAAUUUUAAUGUCAUAUCAUCAUAUUUUGUAAGAUUUUUAUUUUCAGCCGUUGAUUUUGAGCCACUUCGAUCACUAGGCAAAUGAUAUCGAAAAAUCGCAAAAUUUAUUUUCUAGAUACUUCAAAUACUCUAGAUCAAGUCUAACGGAGCCGAUCGUCGAUUCGAAAGUCCGAACAUCGAAAACAAAGUGGAAGCACGGAGCCCUCCGUGCUUCCAUAAGCAUCCUAGCCGCACUCUAUAUAUAUAUAUAUAUAUAUAUAUAUAUAUAUAUAUUGAAAAUCCAAAUUUGCCCUGUUAGCAAUUAAUGUAGUUCUAAAUCUUCUGAUAACUAAUAGAUGUAUCUGUUGCUUGGUUCUAUGGCUCAUGAGUGAAUGAUACCCUGGAAGGUUCUGUGGAAGUGUUUUAUUACCUAAAAGGAGGAAGGUGGUGGAUAGAACUUCUUGUGUGGUUGUGACUAACAUGCUCUUUUUGAGUAACUGAGUUGAUUCUUUUGUUGGUUGUUAAGAAGAUAUUUAAUGAUUUGGUUGAUGCUCAUUGUGAUAAUUUACUGGAUUGUGAAGAAAAUGGAGAGGAACUUUCCUUGUAUUUUAUGAGAAGCUAUCUAUACAUUUCUUUCUCAUCCAUUUUUUUGUGCAGUAUAUAAAUUCCAUAAAUUUGCCCUGUGGUUUACCAAUUGUGAUUAAAAGAAUGAACUAUUUUUUGUGCAACUCAUACUCUUACCUUGAUCUUUCCUGUAGUCUAUCAGAAAAUAGCAGCAAGAUAUUGAUGCAUCAUCUUAGAUGUAACCAAGUAGUUAGUUUGUAUGUACAUGAAACUAUAAAACAAAAAAAAAAGGUACUUGGCCACUAUACUCUAGGUCAAGAUUCCUAGCCCACUUUUAGAUUUUUUUUUUCUUUAUUAUUAUUAUCAUCAUCAUUAUUAUUUUGCUCCACUAACUACCUUUGAUGCCCACAUAGUUCAAAGAUAUUUAUGAAUUAGUCUAAUCCUAGAUAAUAAUUUUGAAUGUUACAUUGAGUAAUAUUUUAUUCGCCACCCUGAUUUUUUGCCAUUUGCGACAUUAACGCUGUAAAAGCAUGUAUUUUAUCCGGAGAAAUAUAAAAUUUACACUUCACUGUCAAGUAUAUACUUAAUAUUUCUCAUGUUCUUCCGAUAGUUAGUGGUAGGAUUGAUAUGUCCAAAUCAAAAUUGGUACAUGGACUAAAUAAGUGGAGUAUUGGAUCAC